GGCGAACGGGUGAGUAACACGUGGGCAAUCUGCCCUUCACUCUGGGACAAGCCCUGGAAACGGGGUCUAAUACCGGAUAUGAGUCUCCGCCGCAUGGUGGGGGCUGUAAAGCUCCGGCGGUGAAGGAUGAGCCCGCGGCCUAUCAGCUUGUUGGUGAGGUAAUGGCUCACCAAGGCGACGACGGGUAGCCGGCCUGAGAGGGCGACCGGCCACACUGGGACUGAGACACGGCCCAGACUCCUACGGGAGGCAGCAGUGGGGAAUAUUGCACAAUGGGCGCAAGCCUGAUGCAGCGACGCCGCGUGGGGGAUGACGGCCUUCGGGUUGUAAACCCCUUUCAGCAGGGAAGAAGCUUCACGGUGACGGUACCUGCAGAAGAAGCGCCGGCUAACUACGUGCCAGCAGCCGCGGUAAUACGUAGGGCGCAAGCGUUGUCCGGAAUUAUUGGGCGUAAAGAGCUCGUAGGCGGCUUGUCGCGUCGGUUGUGAAAGCCCGGGGCUUAACCCCGGGUCUGCAGUCGAUACGGGCAGGCUAGAGUUCGGUAGGGGAGAUCGGAAUUCCUGGUGUAGCGGUGAAAUGCGCAGAUAUCAGGAGGAACACCGGUGGCGAAGGCGGAUCUCUGGGCCGAUACUGACGCUGAG
rnacentral:rRNA from 1 species